UACGUAGGGUGCGAGCGUUAAUCGGAAUUACUGGGCGUAAAGCGUGCGCAGGCGGUUCGUUAAGACAGAUGUGAAAUCCCCGGGCUUAACCUGGGAACUGCAUUUGUGACUGGCGAGCUAGAGUAUGGCAGAGGGGGGUAGAAUUCCACGUGUAGCAGUGAAAUGCGUAGAGAUGUGGAGGAAUACCGAUGGCGAAGGCAGCCCCCUGGGCCAAUACUGACGCUCAUGCACGAAAGACGU
rnacentral:rRNA from 1 species